CGGCUUACCUGGCAGGGGAGACACCAUGAUCAUGCAGGUGGUUUUCCCAGGGUGAGGCUCAUCCCCUGCACUAUAUUUUUUUAGGCUGGGUAUUAGGAAAAAUUUCUUCACUGCAAGGGUUGUCAGACAUUGGACCAGGCUGCCCAGGGAGGUGGUUGAGUCACCAUCCCUG
rnacentral:snRNA from 9 species